CUUCCUCCUCUUCUUCUUCUUCUUCUUCUUCUUCUUGAUGCGCAGUAAAAAUGCCUCUUUUCACAUACUGCAGACUGUCCCAUUUACUGAAAAUAUCAAGCCGAAACGCAUCAAUGUUCCAAAAUGCAACUGAGAUAAAACUCGGAACUGGUUGUGGGGUGCAUCUGACUUGCUAUCGGGGAUUGGUGGACAAUAAAGGACUGCAGGACAGACAGAAGCAGCAAAUGGCCAGGAGUCUUCCUAAGCAGAAACCCAUACCAGGUGUCAAACAGGUGAUUGUUGUUGCUUCAGGAAAAGGCGGCGUGGGCAAGUCCACAACAGCAGUGAACUUGGCUCUUGGGAUUAUGGCCGUUGAUCAUUCUAAGACAGUUGGUCUGUUGGAUGCUGACGUCUAUGGCCCAUCUAUACCCAAACUCAUGAACCUUAAAGGAAACCCAGAGCUCAGUGAUGAUAACCGAAUGAUUCCUCUUAUCAACUAUGGCGUGCCAUGCAUGUCAAUGGGCUUCCUAGUGGAGGAUACAUCUCCCAUUGUGUGGAGGGGACUGAUGGUAAUGUCUGCUAUAGAGAGAUUACUCAGACAGGUACAAUGGGGGGCUUUGGACUACUUGGUGGUAGACAUGCCUCCUGGGACCGGAGACGUCCAACUGUCCAUCUCUCAAAAUAUUCCAGUAGCAGGUGCAGUCAUUGUUUCAACACCUCAAGAUGUUGCUCUGCUGGAUGCUCGCAGGGGAGUGGAGAUGUUUAAAAAAGUCAACGUGCCGUGUCCCAACUGUAAUCACCAAACCCACAUCUUUGGCUCCGACGGGGUACGGCAACUUGCAGAGAAAAUUGGAGUUAAGUUUUUGGGGGACAUCCCUCUUCACCUAACCAUCAGGGAGAUGUCAGACAAAGGACAACCAAUAGUCAUUUCUUACCCGGACAGUUUAGAGGCGGAGGCUUACAAGAAGUUGGCAUCUGCUGUGAUCCAGAAUCUACAAGAACUGAACUCAUGAAGGAAAAUGUCACCAGAAAAUGAUGCAAAAAGUUACUUAUCCUUAUUUUUUCCCCUUUCAUUCUCCCAUUUCUUUCUUGUGCUGUCUCGCUAUUUGAAUAAAAAGUUUAAACUAAAUUAUUAUUUAUAGUAUGCUUUCAAUGUUAUAUCUCUCUCAGUAGAUGAUACUAAUUAUGGUUUGACUUAAAAUGUAUAAAAACUGCUAAAAUGCUAAAUUCACAGCUUCUUAGAAAAAGCUUUACUUGGUGAACAAUUGAAAUAUAAAUCCGUAUAAUCUGAGGUCAGAAGAUGAUAAACUACAAAAAAAUUGUACUUAAGCAUGGCUCUACUUUAUCAUAUUUAAACUCGAGUAAAAGUACAAAAUACCAUCCAAAAAAUUAAUCAAGAGUCAAAACUAUUAGGUAAAAAUGCUACUCAAAAAAAAUGAUACAUUCACUCAAAUGCAAUUUUAGCAGCAAAGACGCAUCUGCUGCUUCAUUUUUGAUGCGUGUAAUGUCAGAUGCGCCUUAAGCAUCUUUGAUCCUGAAGCACCUCAAGUGAAGUGAGUACAGAUGCAUCUGAUGCUUUUGCUGCUCCUCUUUUCAAUUGCAAGGAGUGGCUUUACUAUAUUUUCUGUGAUCAGUGUGUAAAAAGUAGUCGGAAAAAUAAGACAGAUGUUGCAGAAGUGGCCUCUUUUAUUCAACAACAACACGGCGGGAGACAGCACGGCUACAGGUGGAUGCAUCAGAAAUGUUGGAUGGCUGGCAUAGUCACAGACAGGGAAACGGUUCGUCUUUUGAUGCGCUUAUUGGAUCUCAACGAGGUUGACCUGCUUGCACAAAAUCGCUUGAGACGACGUUUAUAUGUCAGUCGGGAACCAAACUAUGUCUGGCACAUGGAUGGGUACGACAUAUUUAAGCCUUAUGGGAUAUGUGUUAAUGGAUGCGUGGAUGGCUUUUCUAGGAAAAUGAUCUGGCUAAAGCAUACAAGACUAAUAGUGACCCUCAGAUUAUUGCUGGCUAUUUUAUUGAUUCUGUGAUUGGGGUACAAUGGAUUUCCACAAAAGAUACGAAUGGAUCAUGGCACAGAGAACACUUGUGUGGCAGCAAUGCAAAGAUUCCUGCACAACACCGAGAAUGAAAAUGGUUUUGAAUCUGUUAUUCUCUGUCCGAGUACAGGAAAUCAAAGUAUAGAGCGAUGGUGCACUUUAGGAAGUGAAUGUGCCCAGUUUUGGAUGGACCGUUCCACCAGCUUAAAGCCGAUGGCUAUUUUCUUGACAGCUUUCUGGACAAAUCACUGAUCCAGUUUUGCUUCCUACAAACAAUACAGAUGGAGUUGGAUCAAGUUGUCCAGGUAUGGAAUGGCCGUCGUAUACGGUCAAAUAAUCCUUGGGCUCCUCAUGGUUGUCCCACAUUAAUGCAUGUUGUUCCCAACCUGUAUGGGGUUCCCAAUUUUUUAGUUUGUAAUCUAACAAAGCUGGAAAUAUGUAUAGAAGAAUGUCGUUUCAAGGACUUUCCCUGUGAUGUCGACGUGUUUCACUUAUGCACUGGACUCAUGACUGAGCCCACUGGUAAUAACAGAUGAUGUGUAUGAAAUUACUAAUCUUUAUGUAAGACUCCGUCAAAUGAUCAGUGAUGGGCUGAGGGAAUAGCUUCUCUAAGUCACCCAGGUCCACAAAAUAUGUCCUGUGUAAAUACAUGUGUAAAUAUAAAGAGUACAAAUAUUCUCAUUACUCUUUACAUGUAUGUUUUUCUGUAUUAUGUCCAAUCGAUUUAUUUAGAGUGCAACAGCAAAUCAUAAACAGACUCUACACUUUAUUCAAAGUGUAUUUAUUUUGUAUUCUGCCAACAGAGAACAAUUCAUUAUGCACUCGUUUAAUUAGCUUAAGAUAAAGAAAUUUAGCAAGUUGUGCCCAGUAAAACAAAAAAAGAAGACUUUUUAUAACCUUCCACAAAAGAAAUAAAA